GGCCAAGGCAAGUGGAUCACCUGAGGUCAGGGGUUUGAGACCAUCCUGGCCAACAUGGUGAACCCCUGUCUCUACUAAAAAUAUAUAUAUAAAUUAGCCAGUUGUAGUGGUGGGCUCCUGUAACCCCAGCUACUCUGGAGGCUGAGGUAGGAGAAUUGCUUGAACCCGGGAGGCAGAGGUUGCAGUGAGCUGAGAUUGCACCACUGCAUUCCAGCCUGGGCGACAGAGUGAGACCUUGUCUUAAAAAAAAAAAAAAUGGCAAACAAACAUAUAAAAAGGUGCUCAACAUCAUUAAUCAUCAGAUAAAUGCAAAUCAAAACUAUAAUGAGAUGUCAUCUCACCCCAGUUAAAAUGUUUUCUGUCCAAAAGACAGGCAGUAACACAUGUUGGUGAGGUUGUGGAGAAAAGGGAACCCUCAUAUACCAUUGAUGGAAUGUAAAUUAAUACAAUCACUAUGGAGAACAGUUUGGAAGUUCCUCAAAGACUAAAAAUAGAGUUACCAUACGAUCAAGCAAUCCCACUGCUAGGUAUGUACCCAAAAGAAAGGAAAUCAGUAUAUCUAAGAGAUAUCUGCACUCCUGUGUUUAUUGCAGCACUAUUCACAAUAGCCCAGAUUUAGAAGCAACCUAAGUGUCCAUCAACAAACGAAUGGGUAGAGAAAAUGUGGUACAUACACACAAUGGAGUACUAUUUAGCCAUAAAAAAGAAUGAGAUCCUGUCAUUUGAAACAACAUAGAUGGAAAUGGAGGUCAUUAUGUUAAGUGAAAUAAGCCAGAAAGACAAACAUCGCAUGUUCUCACUUACCUGUGAGAGCUAAAAAUUAAAACAAUUCAACUCAUGGGCAUAAAGAGUAGAAGGAUGAUUAUCAAAGGCUGGG
rnacentral:lncRNA from 1 species